AGAGUUUGAUCCUGGCUCAGGAUGAACGCUAGCGACAGGCUUAACACAUGCAAGUCGAGGGGCAUCAUGAGGUAGCAAUACCUUGAUGGCGACCGGCGCACGGGUGAGUAACGCGUAUGCAACCUGCCCGAUACCGGGGUAUAGCCCAUGGAAACGUGGAUUAACACCCCAUAGUACUUUUAUCCUGCAUGGGAUGUGAGUUAAAUGUUCAAGGUAUCGGAUGGGCAUGCGUCCUAUUAGUUAGUUGGCGGGGUAACAGCCCACCAAGACGAUGAUAGGUAGGGGUUCUGAGAGGAAGGUCCCCCACAUUGGAACUGAGACACGGUCCAAACUCCUACGGGAGGCAGCAGUGAGGAAUAUUGGUCAAUGGACGAGAGUCUGAACCAGCCAAGUCGCGUGAGGGAAGACUGCCCUAUGGGUUGUAAACCUCUUUUAUAAGGGAAGAAUAAGUUCUACGUGUAGAAUGAUGCCUGUACCUUAUGAAUAAGCAUCGGCUAACUCCGUGCCAGCAGCCGCGGUAAUACGGAGGAUGCGAGCGUUAUCCGGAUUUAUUGGGUUUAAAGGGUGCGUAGGCGGUUUAUUAAGUUAGUGGUUAAAUAUUUGAGCUAAACUCAAUUGUGCCAUUAAUACUGGUAAACUGGAGUACAGACGAGGUAGGCGGAAUAAGUUAAGUAGCGGUGAAAUGCAUAGAUAUAACUUAGAACUCCGAUAGCGAAGGCAGCUUACCAGACUGUAACUGACGCUGAUGCACGAGAGCGUGGGUAGCGAACAGGAUUAGAUACCCUGGUAGUCCACGCCGUAAACGAUGCUCACUGGUUCUGUGCGAUAUAUUGUACGGGAUUAAGCGAAAGUAUUAAGUGAGCCACCUGGGGAGUACGUCGGCAACGAUGAAACUCAAAGGAAUUGACGGGGGCCCGCACAAGCGGAGGAACAUGUG
rnacentral:rRNA from 1 species